rnacentral:rRNA from 1 species
GGCAGUGGCGCAGCUACACAUGCAGUCGGGCGGUAACAGGGAGAAGCUUGCUUCUCCGCUGACGAGCGGCGGACGGGUGAGUAAUGUAUGGGGAUCUGCCUGAUGGAGGGGGAUAACUACUGGAAACGGUAGCUAAUACCGCAUAAUGUCUUCGGACCAAAGCGGGGGACCUUCGGGCCUCGCGCCAUCAGAUGAACCCAUAUGGGAUUAGCUUGUAGGUGAGGUAACGGCUCACCUAGGCGACGAUCCCUAGCUGGUCUGAGAGGAUGAUCAGCCACACUGGGACUGAGACACGGCCCAGACUCCUACGGGAGGCAGCAGUGGGGAAUAUUGCACAAUGGGCGCAAGCCUGAUGCAGCCAUGCCGCGUGUAUGAAGAAGGCCUUCGGGUUGUAAAGUACUUUCAGUCGGGAGGAAGGUGUUAAGGUUAAUAACCUUGGCAAUUGACGUUACCGACAGAAGAAGCACCGGCUAACUCCGUGCAGCCAGCCGCUA